GCAGGUCUGCCUCUGAGGCUGGUGAAUGGAGGUGACCGGUGUCAGGGCCGGGUGGAGGUCCUGUACCAAGGCUAAUGGGGCACUAUGUGUGAUGACAGCUGGGACGCCCAGGAUGCAGAUGUUGUCUGCAGGCAGCUCGGCUGUGGCUAUUCCAUGUCAGCCCUGGGCGGGGCCCACUUUGGUCAGGGCUUGGGUAACAUUCCCUUGGGUGACUUGCAUUGCUUGGGAAGGGAGUCCUACCUGUCAAGCUGUCCCCACAGCGGAUGGUACAACCACGAAUGUGGCCACAGGGAAGAUGCUGGUGUCAUGUGCUCAGGUAGU
rnacentral:lncRNA from 1 species